rnacentral:rRNA from 1 species
CCUACGGGAGGCAGCAGUGAGGAAUAUUGGUCAAUGGACGCAAGUCUGAACCAGCCAUGCCGCGUGCAGGAAGACGGCCCUAUGAGUUGUAAACUGCUUUUGUACGGGGGUAAGCGCAGAUACGCGUAUCUGUCUGAAUGUAUCUUACGAGUAAGGAUCGGCUAACUCCGUGCCAGCAGCCGCGGUAAUACGGAGGAUUCAAGCGUUAUCCGGAUUUAUUGGGUUGAAAGGGUGCGUAGGCGGUCGGGUAAGUUAGAGGUGAAAUCCCGAGGCUCAACUUUGGAAUUGCAGCUGAUACUGGUAGGCUAGAGAGUAGUAGCGGUAGGCGGAAUGUAUGGUGUAGCGGUGAAAUGCUUAGAGAUCAUAAAGAACACCGAUUGCGAAGGCAGCUUACCAAGCUACGUCUGACGUUGAGGCACGAAAGCGUGGGGAGCAAACAGGAUUAGAUACCCCUGUAGUC